rnacentral:ncRNA from 1 species
UCUCUCUGGAGAAGGCUGCGCGUGCAGCUGCCGAAGGUGCAAGACGGGGGCAUGUUUUUCCAUUCGCGACAAUUGCGACCGGGGAAAAUGGAUGCGAUCGUUGAAUCUCUCAGGCAAAAGGACAGAGCG